rnacentral:rRNA from 1 species
GCUUGCUCCACCGGAAAAAGAAGAGUGGCGAACGGGUGAGUAACACGUGGGUAACCUGCCCAUCAKAAGGGGAUAACACUUGGAAACAGGUGCUAAUACCGUAUAACAAUCGAAACCGCAUGGUUUUGAUUUGAAAGGCGCUUUCGGGUGUCGCUGAUGGAUGGACCCGCGGUGCAUUAGCUAGUUGGUGAGGUAACGGCUCACCAAGGCCACGAUGCAUAGCCGACCUGAGAGGGUGAUCGGCCACAUUGGGACUGAGACACGGCCCAAACUCCUACGGGAGGCAGCAGUAGGGAAUCUUCGGCAAUGGACGAAAGUCUGACCGAGCAACGCCGCGUGAGUGAAGAAGGUUUUCGGAUCGUAAAACUCUGUUGUUAGAGAAGAACAAGGAUGAGAGUAACUGUUCAUCCCUUGACGGUAUCUAACCAGAAAGCCACGGCUAACUACGUGCCAGCAGCCGCGGUAAUACGUAGGUGGCAAGCGUUGUCCGGAUUUAUUGGGCGUAAAGCGAGCGCAGGCGGUUUCUUAAGUCUGAUGUGAAAGCCCCCGGCUCAACCGGGGAGGGUCAUUGGAAACUGGGAGACUUGAGUGCA